UACGGAGGAUGCGAGCGUUAUCCGGAUUUAUUGGGUUUAAAGGGUGCGUAGGCGGGAUGCCAAGUCAGCAGUAAAAAUGCGGUGCUCAACGCCGUCGAGCCGUUGAAACUGGCGUUCUUGAGUGGGCGAGAAGUAUGCGGAAUGCGUGGUGUAGCGGUGAAAUGCAUAGAUAUCACGCAGAACUCCGAUUGCGAAGGCAGCAUACCGGCGCCCUACUGACGCUGAGGCACGAAAGCGUGGGUAUCGAACAGG
rnacentral:rRNA from 1 species